AUUGAACGCUGGCGGAAUGCUUUACACAUGCAAGUCGAACGGCAGCACGGACUUCGGUCUGGUGGCGAGUGGCGAGCGGGUGAGUAAUGUAUCGGAACGUGCCCAGUCGUGGGGGAUAACGUAGUGAAAAUUACGCUAAUACCGCAUACGAUCGAUGGAUGAAAGCGGGGGAUCGCAAGACCUUGCGCGAUUGGAGCGGCCGAUAUCAGAUUAGGUAGUUGGUGGGGUAAAGGCCCACCAAGCCAACGAUCUGUAGCUGGUCUGAGAGGACGACCAGCCACACUGGAACUGAGACACGGUCCAGACUCCUACGGGAGGCAGCAGUGGGGAAUUUUGGACAAUGGGCGAAAGCCUGAUCCAGCCAUUCCGCGUGCAGGAUGAAGGCCCUCGGGUUGUAAACUACUUUUGUACAGAACGAAAAGGUUUCUACUAAUACUAGGAGCUCAUGACGGUACUGUAAGAAUAAGCACCGGCUAACUACGUGCCAGCCGCCGCGGUAA
rnacentral:rRNA from 1 species